rnacentral:rRNA from 1 species
UACGUAGGGGGCAAGCGUUGUCCGGAUUUAUUGGGCGUAAAGCGCGCGUAGGCGGGCUGUUAAGUGAGAGGUGAAAGGCUGGGGCUCAACCCCAUGCAGUGCCUCUCAUACUGGCGGUCUUGAAUUCGGCAGGGAGAAGUGGAAUGGCUGGUGUAGCGGUGAAAUGCGUAGAUAUCAGGAGGAACACCGGUGGCGAAGGCGGGUCUCUGGGCAGUAACUGACGCUGAGGAGCGAAAGCGUGGGGAGCGAACAGG